rnacentral:lncRNA from 1 species
GGGAGAAAACGGGGACAAGGCCUCCAGCUCUAAAUAGUCCAACACAAAGAGAUAAUUGGAACUAAACUCCGAUAAGGAAACCAGAAUUGGGUGCAUAAAGUGCUUAUCCAGUACAGCAAUAGUGGAAUUACGACAGCAGAACCACCAGAAGAUAUGCUAUGUCAAAAGUAGGCCCAUUUUCGACUACAGCUCUAGAAAGUACAAGCUAGCAUGAAAUUACAUAAGCAGCCUCUACGAGAAAAAACUUUACUUGAUACAUAUACUUUCGGAGACAAGCGAAAUUUUCGGAAAAACACAGAUGAAGUUCUUCUACCCAUUCUUUACUCAUCUAUCUUUGCUCAUGGUAGUUGUCAUUAUACAGGGAGAGUUCAUACUGAUAAUAUAAAUGAAAGAGCAACUUAGUAUCAGGGCAACAAAACAUAAUACUCUAAAAGGUGAAGAAAAUAAUUUGAAAGAAAAAUCUUGAAGAGUUCAUACUGACCACAUAAAUGAAAGAGCAACUUAGGAUAAGGGAAACAAAACAUAAUACUCUAAAAGGUGAAGAAAAUAAUUUGAAAGAAAAAUCUUGAUCCACAUUUACUCUCCUAUUAGCAAACAUCGUUGCUCCAAAACGUGAAACAAGAGACACCACCUUUGAAUAAGAGAUUUGGUAGCAUAUUGGAGAGUAGAUACGGGUUUAGACAGCAACAAGACUAACAGAGUCUGCACAUGCAAUAUAAAACUGGUAAACUAAGUAAAUGGUGCACCUUGGCAUUUGGACUGUUGAAGAAUUUGAUAACAAAAGGCCAAACAUCGUUGCUCCAAAAAGUAAAACAAGAGACACCCCCUUCGAAUAAGAGAUUUGGUAGCAUAUUGGAGAGUAGAUACGGGUUUAGAUAGCAACAAGACUAACAGAGUCUGCACAUGCAGUAUAAGACUGGUAAACUAAGUAAAU